UUCUCUCGCUCGCUUAUCAAAAAAGGGAAAAAAAAAAAUCUUUCUCUCAAAAAUAAAAAACCCAAAACUUCAUCUAAUAAUCAAACACACACACAGAGAUAUAUAUAUAUAUAUAUAUAUAUAUAUAUAGAGAGAGAGAGAGAGAGAGAGAGAGAGAGAGAGAGUAAAAAAGUUCCCAGAACAAUAAAGAAGACGACUUGUCAGAAAUGCAGGGUGAUGAGGCCAGAACCUUGCUCGGGUUCCCUCCCAAUUCUCACCCUACCCUCUCUCAGGUUAAAGCAGCUUACAAAAGGAAGGUAUGGGAGUCUCAUCCUGACCUUUUUCCAGCUCAACAAAAACCCCAUGCAGAGUCAAAGUUCAAAUUGAUUUCAGAAGCAUACUCUUGCCUGCUGUCUGUUUUAAGUGUUAGCUUAGGCUUGCUCAAGUGAUUUAUUUGAGGAUUCUGAAGAAGAUAUCUAAGCCAACUGGAUAGUCUUGGGGGCAUGCAACAGGAGAUAUGCGAUUGCGAAGGAAUUCCAGUGUACCAGACAGGCAAAUACAUUGAAGAAGAUAAAGUUUCUACAGCUGGCUACUUACCACAUGGUUGAAGAGGUGGCCCCACUUUGGUCCUCAGGAUAUCUUGAUCCUGGAUGGGAGAAUGGUAUUGCUCAGGAUGAAAGGAAAAAGAAGGUUAAAUGCAAAUAUUGCAGGAAAAUGGUCAGCAGUGGAAUAUUUAGAUUGAAGCAAUGUUUGGUUAGACUGACUGGAGAAGUUACUCAUUGUGAAAAGGUUCCGGAGGAUGUAUGCUUGAGUACAAGGGAAAACCUGGAGGGAUGUCAUUCUGUUAGGAAGUGAAGGCAGUCUGAAUAUGAACACGGAUAUUUAAUUUCUACUCUAAUGAAUAUAAUGGAAUGGAAGAAGCAAGUAUAGGUUAUAAACAGAGAGGAAAGAAGGUAAUGACUUAUGACAACUUAAAUAGCGGAUUCUCCCCUCUCCGGACAUUAGGACACGUAGACCUGGGUGGGAACAUUUUGUUCCUCAAGAUGAAAAGAAGAAAAGGGUUAAAUGCAACGAUUGUGAAAAAAUAAUCAGUGGAGGCAUAAACAGGUUCAAACAACAUCUGGCCAGGAUCCCAGGAGAAGUUGCAUACUGUGAAAAGGCACCUGUGGAUGUGUGUCUAAAAAUUAAGGAGAACAUGAAAUGGCACCGUACUGGCAGAAGGCCUCGGAAACCGGUUAUUAAGGAAAUAUCCACUCUGUAUAUGCAUUCAGACAAUGAGAAAGAAGAGGAGCAUGAUGAAGGAUUUUUGCAAUGUAUAAAUAGGGAAAUGCUGGCUUUGGUUAUAAAGUUUUAGACAGUGAAAUUAGAAAUAAUGUCAAGGGGAGGUGUCCUGGUACCAAUGCUGCUGAACCUAAUAGAUCAAGAUUAGAUUCUGUAUUUUUGAAAUCACUGAAGAACCAGACAUCCCCACUCUUCGAGCAAGUAAGAACAAAGAUGAUAUGUGAGAAGAAAACUUGCAAGGAAGUGUUAUCUGCCAUCUGCAAAUUCUAUUAUCAUUCAGCAAUCCCUUUGAAUGCAGCAAACUCCCCUUACUUCAAUAAAAUGCUAGAGUUGAUUGGCCAAUAUGUACAAGGUCUGAAAGGUCCUUUUAGCCAACUAAUAUCUGAUCGAUUCCUUCAAGAUGAGAUCACUACCAUUUAAGGAUAUGUAACAGAGUUUAAAGCAUAUUGGGCAGUUACUGGCUGCUCCAUCAUGGCUGAUGCCUGAUAGUUGGAAAGAUGUGCAGGGUAGGGCAAUAAUAAUUUUUUUGGUUUCUUGCCCUUGUGGUUUAUAUUUUGUUUCUUCCAUUGAUGUCACUGAUAUAAUAAAAGAUGCUGCAAACCUUUUUAAA